rnacentral:rRNA from 1 species
CCUACGGGGGGCAGCAGUGGGGAAUCUUGCGCAAUGGGCGAAAGCCUGACGCAGCGACGCCGCGUGAGGGAUGAAGGUCUUCGGAUCGUAAACCUCUGUCAGCAGGGAAGAAAGGUCACUGUGCUAAUCAGCAGUGAAUUGACGGUACCUGCAUAGAAAGCCCCGGCUAACUCCGUGCCAGCAGCCGCGGUAAUACGGAGGGGGCGAGCGUUAAUCGGAAUUACUGGGCGUAAAGCGAUCGUAGGCGGUUUGUCAAGUCAAGGGUGAAAUCCCCGGGCUCAACGUGGGAACUGCCUUUGAAACUGGCAAACUGGAGUGCAGGAGAGGAGAGUGGAAUUCCAGGUGUAGGAGUGAAAUCCGUAGAUAUCUGGAGGAACAUCAGUGGCGAAGGCGACUAUCUGGUACAUAACUGACGCUGAGGAGCGAAAGCGUGGGUAGCAAACAGGAUUAGAUACCCUUGUAGUC